rnacentral:rRNA from 1 species
AACGAACGCUGGCGGCAGGCCUAACACAUGCAAGUCGAGCGCGCCCUUCGGGGUGAGCGGCGGACGGGUGAGUAACGCGUGGGAACGUGCCCUUUUCUACGGAAUAGCCUCGGGAAACUGAGAGUAAUACCGUAUACGCCCUUUGGGGGAAAGAUUUAUCGGAAAAGGAUCGGCCCGCGUUGGAUUAGGUAGUUGGUGGGGUAAUGGCCUACCAAGCCGACGAUCCGUAGCUGGUUUGAGAGGAUGAUCAGCCACACUGGGACUGAGACACGGCCCAGACUCCUACGGGAGGCAGCAGUGGGGAAUCUUAGACAAUGGGGGCAACCCUGAUCUAGCCAUGCCGCGUGAGUGAUGAAGGCCUUAGGGUUGUAAAGCUCUUUCAGCUGGGAAGAUAAUGACGGUACCAGCAGAAGAAGCCCCGGCUAACUCCGUG